rnacentral:rRNA from 1 species
GGGAGGCAGCAGUAGGGAAUCUUCCGCAAUGGACGAAAGUCUGACGGAGCAACGCCGCGUGAGUGAUGAAGGUUUUCGGAUCGUAAAGCUCUGUUGUUAGGGAAGAACAAGUACCGUUCGAAUAGGGCGGUACCUUGACGGUACCUAACCAGAAAGCCACGGCUAACUACGUGCCAGCAGCCGCGGUAAUACGUAGGUGGCAAGCGUUGUCCGGAAUUAUUGGGCGUAAAGGGCUCGCAGGCGGUUUCUUAAGUCUGAUGUGAAAGCCCCCGGCUCAACCGGGGAGGGUCAUUGGAAACUGGGGAACUUGAGUGCAGAAGAGGAGAGUGGAAUUCCACGUGUAGCGGUGAAAUGCGUAGAGAUGUGGAGGAACACCAGUGGCGAAGGCGACUCUCUGGUCUGUAACUGACGCUGAGGAGCGAAAGCGUGGGGAGCGAACAGGAUUAGAUACCCUGGUAGUCCACGCCGUAAACGAUGAGUGCUAAGUGUUAGGGGGUUUCCGCCCCUUAGUGCUGCAGCUAACGCAUUAAGCACUCCGCCUGGGGAGUACGGUCGCAAGACUGAAACUCAAAGGAAUUGACGGGGGCCGCACAAGCGGUGGAGCAUGUGGUUUAAUUCGAAGCAACGCGAAGAACCUUACCAGGUCUUGACAUCCUCUGACAAUCCUAGAGAUAGGACGUCCCCUUCGGGGGCAGAGUGACAGGUGGUGCAUGGUUGUCGUCAGCUCGUGUCGUGAGAUGUUGGGUUAAGUCCCGCAACGAGCGCAACCCUUGAUCUUAGUUGCCAGCAUUCAGUUGGGCACUCUAAGGUGACUGCCGGUGACAAACCGGAGGAAGGUGGGGAUGACGUCAAAUCAUCAUGCCCCUUAUGACCUGGGCUACACACGUGCUACAAUGGACA